rnacentral:rRNA from 1 species
CCUACGGGAGGCUGCAGUGAGGAAUAUUGGUCAAUGGACGAGAGUCUGAACCAGCCAAGUCGCGUGAGGGAUGACUGCCCUAUGGGUUGUAAACUUCUUUUAUAUGGGAGUAAAGUGUUCCACGUGUGGGGUUUUGUAUGUACCCUAUGAAUAAGGAUCGGCUAACUCCGUGCCAGCAGCCGCGGUAAUACGGAGGAUCCGAGCGUUAUCCGGAUUUAUUGGGUUUAAAGGGAGCGUAGGUGGAUUGUUAAGUCAGUGGUGAAAGUUUGGGGCUCAACCGUAAAAUUGCAGUUGAAACUGGGAGUCUUGAGUACAGUAGAGGUGGGCGGAAUGCGUGGUGUAGCGGUGAAAUGCUUAGAUAUCACGAAGAACUCCGAUUGCGAAGGCAGCAUACUGGACUGCAACUGACACUGAGGCUCGAAAGUGUGGGUAUCAAACAGGAUUAGAUACCCCUGUAGUC